rnacentral:rRNA from 1 species
GAUGAACGCUAGCGGCAGGCCUAAUACAUGCAAGUCGGACGGGAUUCAGGAGCUUGCUUCUGAUGAGAGUGGCGCACGGGUGCGUAACACGUAUGUAACCUACCUUUAUCAGGGGGAUAGCCUCUCGAAAGAGAGAUUAAGCCCGCAUAAAAUCACAGCACAGCAUUGUGUAAUGAUCAAAUAUUUAUAGGAUAAAGAUGGGCAUGCGGAACAUUAGCUAGAUGGCGGGGUAACGGCCCACCAUGGCGACGAUGUUUAGGGGAUCUGAGAGGAUGGCCUCCCACACUGGUACUGAGACACGGACCAGACUCCUACGGGAGGCAGCAGUAAGGAAUAUUGGUCAAUGGGCGGAAGCCUGAACCAGCCAUGCCGCGUGCAGGAAGACGGCCCUACGGGUUGUAAACUGCUUUUAUACGGGAAUAAACCCAGAUACGUGUAUCUGGCUGAAUGUACUGUAAGAAUAAGGAUCGGCUAACUCCGU